UCAUACCUGUCGGGGAGCUUCCAGUGGUUAGGGAGCUGAGACUGCUAGCUAUGCGCUGUAUCCACAGUAAAAGCAGGACCCGUUGAACCUGAUUUGGUUAAUACCAGCGUAGGGAACAGUUUGCUCGUUUUG
rnacentral:ncRNA from 2 species